CCCUGUACUGCAGACCACCAUGUCAGACUCACAGUCCUGAAGCCUCACGUACUGUGGUCUGUUGGUGAGGUAGUCCGUUGUCCAUGCAGCCAGGUGACAGUCCACUCCCGCCCUCUCUAGCUUCCCCCUGAGCAGUGCAGGCUGGAUGGUGUUGAAGGCACUGGAGAUGUCAGAGAACAUGACCCUCACAGUGCUGCCGGUGUUCUCCAGGUGAGUCCAGGAUCUCUGCAGCAGGUAGAUGACGGCGUCAUCCACCCCGAUGUUUGGCUGGUAGGCGAACUGCAGAGGAUCCAGAUUUGAAGUCACCAGGGGGCGGAGGUUGUUGAGGACGAUCCUCUCCAUGGUCUUCAUCAGGUGAGAGGUGAGGGCCACAGGUCUGAAGUGGUUAGGCUUCCUGGGGUGAGAUGUCUUUGGGACUGGCACCACGCAGGAAGUCUUCCACAGAGUCGGUACCCUCUCCAGUCUCAGACUCAGGUUGAAGAUGUGCAGAAGGACCUCACAGAGCUGGUCUGCACAGUCCUUCAGGAGUCUGGAGCUGAUGCCGUCGGGACCUGUGGCCUUCCUCACCUUGAUCUUCCUCAGCUGGCUUCUCACCUGAUCAGCUGUUAUGGAGAGGCCGUCGGAGGAGGAGGAAGAAGAGGAGGGGAGGGCUGUUGAGGGGGGUGGCAGGGUACUCAGAGUACUCAGAUGGAGUGUCUGAGAAGCAGGCUGGUCUGCGCACUGGUGGGUGGGGGUGGGGUUGGGAGCAGAAUCAAAUCUGUUGAAGAACAGAUUCAGUUCAUUUGCCCACUCCCUGUCUCCUGCUUCAGGGCCCCUCUCAUGCCUUCUGCUGUGACCUGAGAUGUUAUUCAGGCCCCUCCAGACUUCUCUUGCAUUUUUAUGUUGUAAAUGCUCCUCUAUCUUUGCCCGGUAGCUGGCUUUCCCCUCCUUGAUUUUUUUCUUGAGCUCCUUCUGCACCCUCCUCAGCUCCUCUCUAUCU